AGAUUAAACAUAAGAGUUUGAUCCUGGCUCAGAUUGAACGCUGGCGGCAUGCUUUACACAUGCAAGUCGAACGGCAGCACGGAGAGCUUGCUCUCUGGUGGCGAGUGGCGAACGGGUGAGUAAUGCAUCGGAACGUACCGAGUAAUGGGGGAUAACUGUCCGAAAGGAUGGCUAAUACCGCAUACGCCCUGAGGGGGAAAGCGGGGGAUCUUAGGACCUCGCGUUAUUUGAGCGGCCGAUGUUGGAUUAGCUAGUUGGUGGGGUAAAGGCCUACCAAGGCGACGAUCCAUAGCGGGUCUGAGAGGAUGAUCCGCCACAUUGGGACUGAGACACGGCCCAAACUCCUACGGGAGGCAGCAGUGGGGAAUUUUGGACAAUGGGGGGAACCCUGAUCCAGCCAUGCCGCGUGUCUGA
rnacentral:rRNA from 1 species